rnacentral:rRNA from 1 species
GGUCAAGUGAAGAAGCGCAUACGGUGGAUGCCUUGGCAGUCAGAGGCGAUGAAAGACGUGGUAGCCUGCGAUAAGCUUUGGGGAGUCGGCAAACAGACUGUGAUCCAGAGAUCUCUGAAUGGGGGAACCCACUCAGCAUAAGCUGAGUAUCUUGUACUGAAUACAUAGGUGCAAGAGGCGAACCAGGGGAACUGAAACAUCUAAGUACCCUGAGGAAAAGAAAUCAACCGAGAUUCCCUUAGUAGUGGCGAGCGAACGGGGACCAGCCCUUAAGUUGAUUUGAGAUUAGUGGAACGCUCUGGAAAGUGCGGCCAUAGUGGGUGAUAGCCCCGUACACGAAAAUCUCUUAUCAAUGAAAUCGAGUAGGACGGAGCACGAGAAACUUUGUCUGAAUAUGGGGGGACCAUCCUCCAAGGCUAAAUACUACUGACUGACCGAUAGUGAACCAGUACCGUGAGGGAAAGGCGAAAAGAACCCCGGAGAGGGGAGUGAAAUAGAACCUGAAACCGUAUGCGUACAAGCAGUGGGAGCCUACUUUGUUAGGUGACUGCGUACCUUUUGUAUAAUGGGUCAGCGACUUAUAUUCAGUGGCGAGCUUAACCGAAUAGGGGAGGCGUAGCGAAAGCGAGUCUUAAUAGGGCGUUUAGUCGCUGGGUAUAGACCCGAAACCGGGCGAUCUAUCCAUGGGCAGGUUGAAGGUUAGGUAACACUGACUGGAGGACCGAACCGACUACCGUUGAAAAGUUAGCGGAUGACCUGUGGAUCGGAGUGAAAGGCUAAUCAAGCUCGGAGAUAGCUGGUUCUCCUCGAAAGCUAUUUAGGUAGCGCCUCAUGUAUCACUGUAGGGGGUAGAGCACUGUUUCGGCUAGGGGGUCAUCCCGACUUACCAAACCGAUGCAAACUCCGAAUACCUACAAGUGCCGAGCAUGGGAGACACACGGCGGGUGCUAACGUCCGUCGUGAAAAGGGAAACAACCCAGACCGUCAGCUAAGGUCCCAAAGUCAUGGUUAAGUGGGAAACGAUGUGGGAAGGCUUAGACAGCUAGGAGGUUGGCUUAGAAGCAGCCACCCUUUAAAGAAAGCGUAAUAGCUCACUAGUCGAGUCGGCCUGCGCGGAAGAUGUAACGGGGCUCAAACCAUGCACCGAAGCUACGGGUAUCACCUUUUGGUGAUGCGGUAGAGGAGCGUUCUGUAAGCCUGUGAAGGUGAGUUGAGAAGCUUGCUGGAGGUAUCAGAAGUGCGAAUGCUGACAUGAGUAACGACAAUGCGAGUGAAAAACUCGCACGCCGAAAGACCAAGGUUUCCUGCGCAACGUUAAUCGACGCAGGGUUAGUCGGUCCCUAAGGCGAGGCUGAAAAGCGUAGUCGAUGGAAAACAGGUUAAUAUUCCUGUACUUCCAGUUAUUGCGAUGGAGGGACGGAGAAGGUUAGGCCAGCCUGGCGUUG